rnacentral:tRNA from 1 species
GCCGGCAUAGCUCAGUAGGUAGAGCAACCGCUUCGUAAGUGGUAGGUCGUCAGUUCGAAUCUGACUGCCGGCU